GGACGAUUAGCUCAGUUGGUAGAGUACUUGAACGACAUUCAAGGUGUCACUGGUUCGAGCCCAGUAUCGUCCACCA
rnacentral:tRNA from 4 species